rnacentral:rRNA from 1 species
UACGGAGGGUGCAAGCGUUAUCCGGAUUUACUGGGUUUAAAGGGUGCGUAGGUGGGUUUGUAAGUCAGUGGUGAAAUCUCCGGGCUUAACUCGGAAAUUGCCAUUGAUACUAUAGAUCUUGAAUCAUCUGGAGGUAAGCGGAAUAUGUCAUGUAGCGGUGAAAUGCUUAGAUAUGACAUAGAACACCAAUUGCGAAGGCAGCUUACUAAGUCAUAACUGACGCUGAUGCACGAAAGCGUGGGGAGCAAACAGG